rnacentral:rRNA from 1 species
UGGUGGCGAUAGCGAAGAGGUCACACCCGUUCCCAUGCCGAACACGGAAGUUAAGCUCUUCAGCGCCGAUGGUAGUCGGGGGGUUCCCCCUGUGAGAGUAGGACGCCGCCAAGCC